rnacentral:lncRNA from 1 species
AGUGCAGCAGCGUCAUCGGGAACACGAACACCAGGUGCUGGUAGAGUGUCAGCCCCAGGCAAGGCAGAAGCUGCUUUACGGAAGGCGAGAAGUCCGGGUGGAUCUUGUAGCGUCGCAAGAUGGGCACCCAGGGAUACAGGACGUCCAGCACCACGAACGCUGACGUAUUGUUGACACAGGAGAGAGCGAUUCUGCCUUGGGACAAUUCACUGGCCAUCACCGCUACAAACUAAUGAGUUCUUCGCCCUCAGAAAGCACUGAUUCCCAAUCAAAGCAGAAUUCCCUGAGUUUUAAAAUAUCUGUAUUUGACUGUUUAAAGACUUAUUCUACAUCUUGGGGAUCUCUGAGUGUACUGUUACUGGGUCCGUUGCAAACAGGGAUUGAGUCCCUUAGGAGAGGGAACCUGGCUCCAAAAAGGAGCAGUCAGUCUCGCAGCCUUUUGGCACGAACGACUCUCCCGCUCUUGUACCCUUAAAGCCGGCGGUGUCAAGAGCAGAGAUCAGAUCCUGCAAGACAGCGGUCCAGAGGGCAGCACUGCCAGUCUUUGCUCUGGAUUGGAGAAAGGAGGCUUAACAUCCGCAAAGGCUCACUCGAUUGGGCCAAACCGCAAAGGCCGGUGGAGAAGAUGAUCUGAGCAAUCUCAUAGCCACCGGGAAGAUCUCUCAUCUCCCCUGCCAUUUCCUUAGAGAUCCCUCAGGCUCCGACUUUUACCGGCCCUCAGUUGUUCCCUGCUCCUCAACUCCUGGACACCCUUUCAGACACUGGGACUGAUCGUCCAGGGACUGAGCACAGGAGGUCAGUACUACGUCCGAGGAGAGCGCCCUAGAGAGCCCAGCACAGAAAUCAGCCCCGGGUGGCCUACACGCAGCACGGAAGACCCCAGAGGAAAGCCCGGAGCCAUUUUCCCAGGGUUUCCUUCUUGUAUUUGUGUCUUUACAGCGGCUUUUCUCUGCUGGAAGCUGACAUAGUCUUAUGCAAGCUUGUGUUUCUUGUGUUACUUUCCAAGGAAAACAGGGAUUGUAGCUCUAGGAGCCUGCUGCAAGCCCUGCGGGGGGGGGGGGGGGGGAGCGAAGGGGGAGGGGAUGGACUGUAACUUCUGCCUGCUCCCUGCUAGGCACAAGACUGUUUGUUACUUUUGAUUCACACUCAUCAAGAACUGGCUCCCACAUUUGUCAGGAAGGAGGCGGUGACCCCAUAAUUGUGGCUCCACAGCCCUCUGUCUAAGGACUUAGCACAUACAACCAAAGGAAAUAAGGCAAACAAUCACUUUAACUUUGUAUUUCACAGGUAACCACUACGAUAUUUGGAAUUAAAUGCAAAUAGUUAAGGGUUUUUUUUUUUUUUACAUGAAGAAAAGAUAAAAGGAUAUAAGAAACAAACACAUAUGGUAAAAAUAUGGUACAAUAAAUGGGCCC